CUCCAAUAGCGUAUAUUAAAGUUGUUGCAGUUAAAAAGCUCGUAGUUGAAUUUCGGGGUUAGUAGGUUGGUCAUGCCUCUGGUAUGUACUGGUCUCACUGAUUCCUCCUUCCUGAUGAACCUUAAUGCCAUUAAUUUGGUGUUUUGGGGAAUUUGGACUGUUACUUUGAAAAAAUUAGAGUGUUUAAAGCAAGCUAACGCUUGAAUACAUUAGCAUGGAAUAAUGAAAUAGGACGUUCGAUCCUAUUUUGUUGGUUUCUAGGAUUGACGUAAUGAUUAAUAGGGAUAGUUGGGGGCAUUAGUAUUCAAUUGUCAGAGGUGAAAUUCUUGGAUUUAUUGAAGACUAACUACUGCGAAAGCAUUUGCCAAGGAUGUUUUCAUUAAUCAAGAACGAAAGUUAGGGGAUCGAAGACGAUCAGAUACCGUCGUAGUCUUAACCAUAAACUAUGCCGACUAGGGAUC
rnacentral:rRNA from 1 species